rnacentral:rRNA from 1 species
UACGUAGGGUGCGAGCGUUGCCCGGAUUUAUUGGGCGUAAAGAGCGUGUAGGCGGCUAUACAGGUCCGCUGUGAAAACUCGAGGCUCAACCUCGAGACGUCGGUGGAAACCGUAUGGCUAGAGUCCGGAAGAGGAGAGUGGAAUUCCUGGUGUAGCGGUGAAAUGCGCAGAUAUCAGGAGGAACACCAAUAGCGAAGGCAGCUCGCUGGGACGUUACUGACACUGAGGCGCGAAAGCGUGGGGAGCGAACAGG